rnacentral:tRNA from 1 species
UGGUUUGUGGCUCAGUGAUAGAGUGCUUGCCUAGCACACGCAUGAGGUUUGUGUUUGAUUCCCAGCAGAAGCAA